rnacentral:ncRNA from 2 species
ACCGUACAUUCUUUUACAGGUGCCCAUAGGGGAGAAUAGGGAAUCGGGUGUAAUUCCCGAGCGGUCCCGCCACUGUAAACGGUGAGGUGAUACCCGAGAGAAGCCACUGGCCAAAGGGCCGGGAAGGUUGGUAUCAAGCAAUGACCCGUAAGUCAGGAGACCUGCCUGUAAAAGCAUAAAAAC